UACGAAGGGGGCUAGCGUUGCUCGGAAUCACUGGGCGUAAAGCGCACGUAGGCGGACUCUUAAGUCAGGGGUGAAAUCCUGGAGCUCAACUCCAGAACUGCCUUUGAUACUGGGAGUCUUGAGUUCGGGAGAGGUGAGUGGAACUGCGAGUGUAGAGGUGAAAAUUCGUAGAUAUUCGCAAGAACACCAGUGGCGAAGGCGGCUCACUGGCCCGAUACUGACGCUGAGGUGCGAAAGCGUGGGGAGCAAACAGG
rnacentral:rRNA from 1 species